rnacentral:rRNA from 1 species
GAUGAACGCUGGCGGCGUGCCUAAUACAUGCAAGUCGAGCGAACAGAUGAGGAGCUUGCUCCUCUCACGUUAGCGGGGGAGGGGCGAGUAACACGUUGAUGCCCUACCUAUAAGACUGGGAUCACUUCGGGAAACCGGAGCUAAUACCGUAUAAUAUCUUGAACCUCAUUAUUCAAUAGUGAAAGACGGUAUUGCUGUAUCUUAUAGAUGGAUCCGCGCCGCAUUAGCUAGUUGGUAAGAUAACGGCUUACCAAGGAAACGAUCAGUAGCCGACCUGAGAGGUGGAUCGGCCACACUGGAACGGAGAAAGGGCCCAGACUCCUACGGGAGGCAGCAGAAGGGAAUCUUCCGCAAGGGGCGAAAGCUGGACGGAGCAACGCCGCUGGAGUGAUGAAGGUCUUCGGAUCUUAAAACUUUGUGAUUAGGGAAGAACAAAUGUGUAAGUAACUAUGCACGUCUUGACGGUACCUAAUCAGAAAGCCACGGCUAACUACGUG